CCGGUGCUUGACACUUAGCGACCACUCUGUAAAUAACUGAGUCCUGCUGGUGUUGCCAUCACACACACACACUCGUGCACACAGCACAUGCACACAUGACAUGCCCGUGCACCACACCACAUGCAAGCACUCACACACACCACAUGCACUCACACCACAUGCACUCACACACACCACAUGCAUGCACUCACACACGUAUGCACUCACACCACAUGCACUCACACCAACCACAUGCACUCACACCACAUGCACUCACACCACAUGCAUUCACACACCACAUGCACUCACACCACAUGCAUUCACACACCACAUGCACUCACACCACAUGCACUCACACCCACCACAUGCACUCACAUCACAUGCAUUCACACACACCACAUGCACUCACACACACCACAUGCACUCACACCACAUGCAUUCACACACCACAUGCACUCACACCACAUGCACUCACACCACAUGCAUGCACUCACACCACAUGCAUUCACACGCACCACAUGCACUCACACCACAUGCAUGCACUCACACACACCACAUGCACUCACACCACAUGCAUUCACACGCACCACAUGCACUCACACACACAUGCACUCACACCACAUGCACUCACACACACCACAUGCAUGCACUCACACCACAUGCAUUCACACACACCACAUGCAUUCACACACACCACAUGCACUCACACCACAUGCACACACACCACAUGCACUCACACACACCACAUGCAUUCACACGCACCACAUGCACUCACACCACAUGCACUCACACACACAUGCACUCACACACACCACAUGCACUCACACCACAUGCAUUCACACACCACAUGCACUCACACACACCACAUGCAUUCACACGCACCACAUGCACUCACACCACAUGCAUUCACACACACACCACAUGCACUCACACACACCACAUGCACUCACCACAUGCAUUCACACACACACCACAUGCACUCACACUACAUGCAUGCACUCAC
rnacentral:lncRNA from 1 species